rnacentral:rRNA from 1 species
AUCACUAAGCGGAGGAAAAGAAACUAACGAGGAUUCCCCUAGAGCGGCGAGCGAACCGGGAGAAGCCCAGCUUGAGAAUCCCGUCGUAGUCGAUUUGCGGCGGGAGUUGUAGUCUGGAGAAGUGUCCUCUGCAGCGGACCUGGCCUAAGUCCCCUGGAAAGGGGCGUCAGAGAGGGUGAGAACCCCGUCGGGCCGGGAGCCUGCUGCUCCACGAGGCACUGUCGACGAGUCGGGCUGUUUGGGAAUGCAGCCCUAAGUGGGAGGUAAAUUCCUUCCAAGGCUAAAUACGGGCGGGAGACCGAUAGCGAACAAGUACCGCGAGGGAAAGAUGAAAAGGACUUUGAAAAGAGAGUUAAAAAGUGCUUGAAAUUGCUGGGAGGGAAGCGAAUGGAGGCCUCGUGUGCGCCCCGGUCGGAUGCGGAACGGCGUUCAGCUGGUCCGCCGCUCGACGCGGGGCGCUGGUCGGCGUGGGCUUUUUUGAUUUCCGGCGGGAUAAAAGUCGGUCUUUUUGUCGGGCCGGCCGAUGCCGUCGGGGAGGCCGAGGAAUCGAAGUGCGCGCCAUUGGGCGGGCUCCCCCUCCACGGGGGAGCACCUGCGCACUCGGGACGCCGGCGUAGUGGGCUU